rnacentral:tRNA from 1 species
CCCACUGUAGCUCAGCAGGCAGAGCAACCGGUUGAAACCCGGUGCGCGGGGGUUCGAAUCCCCCCUUUGGGGCCA